rnacentral:rRNA from 1 species
AGGCUUACCAUGCAGUCGAGCGGGGAAAGGUAGCUUGCUACCUGACCUAGCGGCGGACGGGUGAGUAAUGCUUAGGAAUCUGCCUAUUAGUGGGGGACAACAUUCCGAAAGGAAUGCUAAUACCGCAUACGCCCUACGGGGGAAAGCAGGGGAUCUUCGGACCUUGCGCUAAUAGAUGAGCCUAAGUCAGAUUAGCUAGUUGGUGGGGUAAAGGCCUACCAAGGCGACGAUCUGUAGCGGGUCUGAGAGGAUGAUCCGCCACACUGGGACUGAGACACGGCCCAGACUCCUACGGGAGGCAGCAGUGGGGAAUAUUGGACAAUGGGCGAAAGCCUGAUCCAGCCAUGCCGCGUGUGUGAAGAAGGCCUUUUGGUUGUAAAGCACUUUAAGCGAGGAGGAGGCUACUUGGAUUAAUACUCUAGGAUAGUGGACGUUACUCGCAGAAUAAGCACCGGCUAACUCUGUGCCAGCAGCCGCGGUAAUACAGAGGGUGCGAGCGUUAAUCGGAUUUACUGGGCGUAAAGCGUGCGUAGGCGGCUUCUUAAGUCGGAUGUGAAAUCCCUGAGCUUAACUUAGGAAUUGCAUUCGAUACUGGGAAGCUAGAGUAUGGGAGAGGAUGGUAGAAUUCCAGGUGUAGCGGUGAAAUGCGUAGAGAUCUGGAGGAAUACCGAUGGCGAAGGCAGCCAUCUGGCCUAAUACUGACGCUGAGGUACGAAAGCAUGGGGAGCAAACAGGAUUAGAUACCCUGGUAGUCCAUGCCGUAAACGAUGUCUACUAGCCGUUGGGGCCUUUGAGGCUUUAGUGGCGCAGCUAACGCGAUAAGUAGACCGCCUGGGGAGUACGGUCGCAAGACUAAAACUCAAAUGAAUUGACGGGGGCCCGCACAAGCGGU